rnacentral:rRNA from 1 species
UACGUAGGGUGCAAGCGUUGUCCGGAAUUAUUGGGCGUAAAGAGCUCGUAGGCGGUCUGUCGCGUCGGCUGUGAAAACCCGGGGCUCAACCCCGGGCCUGCAGUCGAUACGGGCAGACUAGAGUGCGGUAGGGGAGACUGGAAUUCCUGGUGUAGCGGUGAAAUGCGCAGAUAUCAGGAGGAACACCAAUUGCGAAGGCAGCUCGCUGGGACGUUACUGACGCUGAGGAGCGAAAGCGUGGGGAGCGAACAGG